GUGCUCGCUUCGGCAGCACAUACACUAAAACUGGAACAGUAGAGAAUAGCCUGGCCCCUGUGCAAGGAUGACACACAGAUUUGAGAACAGGAGAACAACUCA
ensembl:snRNA U6 U6 spliceosomal RNA